rnacentral:rRNA from 1 species
AGCGAACGCUGGCGGCAGGCCUAACACAUGCAAGUCGAACGAACCUUUCGGGGUUAGUGGCGGACGGGUGAGUAACACGUGGGAACGUGCCUUUAGGUUCGGAAUAACUCAGGGAAACUUGUGCUAAUACCGAAUGUGCCCUUCGGGGGAAAGAUUUAUCGCCUUUAGAGCGGCCCGCGUCUGAUUAGCUAGUUGGUUGAGGUAAUGGCUCACCAAGGCGACGAUCAGUAGCUGGUCUGAGAGGAUGAUCAGCCACAUUGGGACUGAGUCACGGCCCAAACUACUACGGGAGGCUGCAGUGGGGAAGCUUGAGGAAGGGCGGAAAUUCGUACAAACCCAUGCCGCGGGAAUGAAGAAGUGCUUAGGAUUGUAAAACCCUUUCACACGGUACGACAAUCACGGUCCGUGGUAAAGAAGCCCCGGCUAACUUCGUG